rnacentral:ncRNA from 1 species
GAGAGCCGGAUGCAUCGAAAGGUGCAAGUCCGGUUCGGAGAAGGGCGUUACCGUCAAACUAUUGAUCGUUUGGUCAAUGGGUCGGGUGACGCCUAUUCAAC